rnacentral:misc_RNA from 1 species
UAUAGUUCGACAAAUUAUAAUGAUUGUGAUUGGAAAGCAAGCUGCAAUUUCAUCGAUCAAGUUCAUGAAUCCUGGUAAUUAUAACUCAAGGACUAUUUUAAUGAUCCACAAUAAACCAGCUGGGCAGCUACAGACCGCAAAUUUUGCUUUAACAGGAUUUUAAUUUCCCUGUGACAGGAAAUGGAUCAAAGUUGAGGCCGGAUCUAAUAACUGCAAUUACAACUAAAACUAUAGAAACCUUAUCCUUUUACCCCUCUUCCCAAUCCCUGGGCAGGAAAUUGAUUAGGAUCCACAGGCAGAAGUUUAUCCAACCCCAUGCGCAGCUAUUGAUAUUUCACCAUCACCAAUAUCUCUCCUACUUUCUCCUCCAUUGUUUAGCUUCUUUAACUUAACUCCACGACUGUCGUCAGACUGAUGACACGGCUAACAUUCAGCCUCUCACCAUUAAUAAUGUGUCCACGACCACUGUAUGGCCUCCUGCAAGUAUGGCCUCCACAAGGCCUCUCACGCCAGUGUCCUCGUUCCCCAACUGGUUUCAGGAAUUCAUCAAUGCUCAUUGACUACAAGAAAGAAACAUAUUUUCAAAGAUCCCAAUUCCAACGAGAGUCAGACUCAGGCAUGCCUAUUUCAUUUUACAUUUUUCUUUUUACCAAAUUUCACAUGAAAGAAAUUGCAGUGUCCAUUACCUUUCGGAUUUUCUCUUCCUUUUCAAAGUCAUCUUUCCUAAAGGAGUGACUUACAAAAUAUUUGUUGAAGGGACAUUUUUUAUCAGGUAAAAUGAAGUAAAGACAAAAAAAGCAGCUUGGAUGCUACUUUAAAAGAAGUUCCACCUUAGCAAAGCGUCCAAGCUGCUUCUCG